CUUUCUUUGCUGGCGACCGGCGCACGGGUGAGUAACACGUAUCCAACCUGCCCUCUACUCGGGGAUAGCCUUUCGAAAGAAAGAUUAAUACCCGAUAGUAUAAUGAUUCCGCAUGGUUUCAUUAUUAAAGGAUUCCGGUAAAGGAUGGGGAUGCGUUCCAUUAGGUUGUUGGUGAGGUAACGGCUCACCAAGCCUUCGAUGGAUAGGGGUUCUGAGAGGAAGGUCCCCCACAUUGGAACUGAGACACGGUCCAA
rnacentral:rRNA from 1 species